rnacentral:rRNA from 1 species
GAUGAACGCUGGCGGCGUGCCUAAUACAUGCAAGUCGAGCGAACGGACGAGAAGCUUGCUUCUCUGAUGUUAGCGGCGGACGGGUGAGUAACACGUGGAUAACCUACCUAUAAGACUGGGAUAACUUCGGGAAACCGGAGCUAAUACCGGAUAAUAUUUUGAACCGCAUGGUUCAAAAGUGAAAGACGGUCUUGCUGUCACUUAUAGAUGGAUCCGCGCUGCAUUAGCUAGUUGGUAAGGUAACGGCUUACCAAGGCAACGAUGCAUAGCCGACCUGAGAGGGGGAUCGGCCAAACUGGAACCGAGACAGGGGCCAGACCCCUACGGGAGGAAGCAGGGGGGAAUCUCCCGGAAGGGGCGAAAGCCGGACGGAGCAACGCCGCGGGAGGGAUGAAGGUUUUGGGAUCGUAAAACUUUGUUAUUAGGAAAAAACAAAUGGGUAAGUAACUGUGCCAAUCUGGAGGGUACCUAAUCAGAAAGCCACGGCUAACUACGU